rnacentral:sRNA from 1 species
ACCACCAGAGUUCCUUUCCUUUCACAGCACUGGAUUUGAAAUAAGGGAGACUUUGCCUCCAACGAUGCAUUCUGAUUAACGCUGCUGCUGGCCUCAAGGAACCCUUACCUAUUUGGGAGCAGAGUCCUGUCUGGAGCAGAGUCCCACGAGCCGAAUGUCACUGUGCCUGCGUGUGGCCCGCGAGAUUCUUCCAAGUCUUUCCAGAUUCUCUCCCACUAAAAUAUCGAAGAGCCUGUGCGGGUGGAUCAUUCUUAAGGCACAACAAGGCAAAAGAUGUUCAUGAACUCACAGCACGCACAAAACCUGCACAAGCACAUGCCAAACGAAUUCCAAAGACAAGGGAAGAAAAAUGGUCGCAUUGCCCUACUCAUAGAAGCUAUCUGCAAGUGAGGAAAAAUAAAUAAAUAAACAGU